GCCGCCCUAGCUCAAUUGGUAGAGCAACUGACUUGUAAUCAGUAGGUUGGGGGUUCAAGUCCUCUGGCCGGCACCA
rnacentral:tRNA from 1 species